rnacentral:rRNA from 1 species
AUACGAAAGGUGCAAGCGUUGUUCGGAUUUACUGGGCGUAAAGAGAGUGUAGGUGGUUUAUUAAGUCGGAUGUGAAAUCCCGGGGCUCAACCUCGGAACUGCAUUCGAUACUGAUAGGCUAGAGUUUGGGAGGGGUAAGCGGAAUUCCGUGUGUAGCAGUGAAAUGCGUAGAUAUACGGAGGAACACCUGGGGCGAAGGCGGCUUACUGGACCAAUACUGACACUGAGACUCGAAAGCGUGGGUAGCAAACAGGAUUAGAAACCCUAGUAGUCC